rnacentral:rRNA from 1 species
CCAAUAGCGUAUAUUAAAGUUGUUGCAGUUAAAAAGCUCGUAGUUGAAUUUCGGGGUUAGUAGGUUGGUCCUGCCUCUGGUAUGUACUGGUCUCCCUGAUUCCUCCUUCCUGAUGAGCCGUAAUGCCAUUAAUUUGGUGUUGCGGGGAUUUUGGACUGUUACUUUGAAAAAAUUAGCGUGUUUAAAGCAAGCUAACGCUUGAAUCCAUUAGCAUGGAAUAAUGAAAUAGGACGUUCGAUCCUAUUUUGUUGGUUUCUAGGAUUGACGUAAUGAUUAAUAGGGAUAGUUGGGGGCAUUAGUAUUCAAUUGUCAGAGGUGAAAUUCUUGGAUUUAUUGAAGACUAACUACUGCGAAAGCAUUUGCCAAGGAUGUUUUCAUUAAUCAAGAACGAAAGUUAGGGGAUCGAAGACGAUCAGAUACCGUCGUAGUCUUAACCAUAAACUAUGCCGACUAGGGAUCGGAUGAUGUUAAUUUUUUAAUGACUCAUUCGGCGCCUUACG